CCCUUAGACGUUCUGGGCCGCACGCGCGCUACACUGACCAGUGCAACAAGCAUCCGUCCUUGGCCGACAGGCCCGGGCAAUCUUUGAACGCUGUUCGUGAUUGGGAUAGACCUUUGCAAUUAUGGGUCUUCAACGAGGAAUUCCUAGUAAACGCAAGUCAUCAGCUUGCAUUGAUUACGUCCCUGCCCUUUGUACACACCGCCCGUCGCACCUACCGAUUGAAUGGUCCGGUGAAAUCUCGGGACGGCGGCUUGGUCGCUUGCGUCCGACUGCUGAAACUUGAUUAAACCAUAUCAUUUAGAGGAAGGUGAAGUCGUANCA
rnacentral:rRNA from 1 species